rnacentral:rRNA from 1 species
CCUACGGGAGACAGCAGUGGGGGAUAGUGCACAAUGGGGGAAACCCUGAUGCAGCGACGCCGCGUGGGGGAAGACGGUCCUCUGGAUUGUAAACCACGGUCCCCAGGGACGAAGAUGACGGUACCUGGGGAGGAAGCGCCGGCUAACUACGUGCCCGCAGCACCGGAAAUACGUAGGGAGCGAGCGUUGUCCGGAAUGACGGGGUGUCAAGGGAGCGUAGGCGGGACUGCAAGUUGGGUGUCAAAUCUACCGGCGCAACCGGUAGCCGCACUCCAAACUGCAGUUCUUGAGUGAAGUAGAGGCAGGCGCACUUCCUAGUGUAGCGGUGAAAUGCGUAGAUAUUAGGCGGAACCCCAGUGGCGACGGCGGCCUGCUGGGCUUUUCCUGACGCUGAGGCUCGAAAGUGUGGGGAGCACACCGGAUUAGCUACCCCAGUAGUC